rnacentral:misc_RNA from 1 species
AUAUCUACUCCUUUUAGUUCCACUUUUAACAUUCCUCAAUUUUCUUUCAUUGUUGUCUCUUCUUUCAGACCUGACCCUAUGGUUCUCAUAUUCACUUUCACCACUACUAAAACUCUGACAAGGCGAACAACUCUAUGAGCCACUACUCGUAGAACUAAUAGUUGCAUCUCUCCAAGACUUCUUCUUUUUCUUCUUCCUAGUUGCUUUCUUCCUUG